rnacentral:lncRNA from 1 species
UCGGCAACUGAGAAUCGACCGGAGAUAUAAGAAAAGCUUCACACUGACUCCGCCGUCUUUAUCCCUCCGUGAAUCAAACAUUAUCUUUGAAAUUAUUCAUAAAUGGGUCAAUUUGUAUCUGCAAGGAGUGUCAAUGUGCGUGAAAACCUAGAAGCAGCAACACUCGGGCUUGAUGUUGGUGAACCUUCAUAAGUGUAUCUUGAACUGCACCUUGGGACCCUUUUACUUUUUUAGUCAAACAUGUGUGCUACUGCAUUUGUAAUCCUCAUGUUCAUUGGUCAUC